GUGCCAGCAGCCGCGGUAAUACGGAGGGUGCAAGCGUUGUUCGGAAUUAUUGGGCGUAAAGCGCGUGUAGGCGGCUAUUUAAGUCUGAUGUGAAAGCCCGGGGCUCAACCUCGGAAGUGCAUUGGAAACUGGAUGGCUUGAGUGUGGUAGAGGCAAGUGGAAUUCCAUGUGUAGCGGUAAAAUGCGUAAAUAUAUGGAGGAACACCAGUGGCGAAGGCGGCUACCUGGACCGAUACUGACGCUGAGACGC
rnacentral:rRNA from 1 species